GACGAACGCUGGCGGCGUGCUUAACACAUGCAAGUCGAGCGAUGAAGCACCUUCGGGUGUGGAUUAGCGGCGAACGGGUGAGGAACACGUGAGGAAUCUGCCUUUCACUUCGGGAUAACUCCGGGAAACCGGGGCUAAUACCGGAUAUUUUCAACUGGCGGCAUCGCCGGUUGAAGAAAGUUUUUCGGUGAAAGAUGACCUCGCGGCCUAUCAGCUUGUUGGUGAGGUAAUGGCUCACCAAGGCGACGACGGGUAGCCGGCCCGAGGGGGCGACCGGCCACACUGGGACUGAGACACGGCCCAGACUCCUACGGGAGGCAGCAGUGGGGAAUAUUGGGCAAUGGAGGAAACUCUGACUCAGCGACGCCGCGUGAGGGAUGAAGGCCUUCGGGUUGUAAACCUCUUUCAGCAGGGAAUAAGCGAAAGUGAAGGUACCUGCAGAAGAAGCACCGGCUAACUAUGUGCCAGCCGCCGCAGUAA
rnacentral:rRNA from 1 species